UAGAAGCAUGUUAGGAUGAAUUCGUUUCUGGAAUAUUGAUAGUUGAACUUGUUGGAUUAAUGGAAUGGUUUGAUUGGAUUUUUGUUUAAGUCUUCCGCUGGUUACGUUGAGUUGGUUGUGUUAGUAAAAUUGUCUGGGUUGCUUUAAAGGGGUUAAUCCGGAUUGUUUGCAUGCUUAAAAGAAAAAAAAAUGGGAUGGGUUCUUUCAAUUUG
rnacentral:lncRNA from 1 species